AAAAAGGGCUUUUGUAGUGAGUGGCACAUGUAGGGCAACUUGAUUACUCUUCAUGUGAAUUGACAUCAACAGAUUUUAGAAGGUUGAGUUUUUGGCAGUUGGGCAGUAUCCUA
ensembl:snRNA